GAUGAAGAACGUAGCAAAAUGCGAUAAGUAAUGUGAAUUGCAGAAUUCAGUGAAUCAUCGAAUCUUUGAACGCACAUUGCGCCCGCCAGUAUUCUGGCGGGCAUGCCUGUUCGAGCGUCAUUUCAACCCUCAAGCACAGCUUGGUGUUGGGACUCGCGUUAAUUCGCGUUCCUCAAAUUGAUUGGCGGUCACGUCGAGCUUCCAUAGCGUAGUAGUAAAACCCUCGUUACUGGUAAUCGUCGCGGCCACGCCGAUAAACCCCAACUUCUGAAUGUUGACCUCGGAUCAGGUAGGAAUACCCGCUGAACUUAAGCAUAUCAAUAAGCGGAGGA
rnacentral:misc_RNA from 1 species